GUGGACUCAGCGCUGGAAGCCGGAGGAGGAGGCGGAGGAAAAGUUCCCGUGACAGCACAAUGGACUGCGGGCGCGCGCACCAGCUCUCCAGCACCCGCCGCUCGGUGCGGCCGGAGGGGUGACUCCUUUUGCCCUGGGGGAUCCCCUCGCCGCUCCGCGCCUGGGGACCUCGGGUUGGAACUGUAGGCGUCGCCGAGACCCGGCGGUAGCCGGAGGAAGGGAGGAAAGAGAAGCUCUAAUCCCCAGCGUCUGUUCGCUUCCACAAAUAGAACCUUCUGUUGGAUGAAAUAAAAGCAAACACUAGGCCUUCUGCUCUCCUCCACCUCCACGCCCCUCCCGCGCCUGCCGCCCGCCCGGAUUGCACGGAAAUAGCUUCUCCCGGCUCCCCGGCCGCCCCUUCGCGGUGACUCGCAGAAAGAGCUUCCUGAGCCGCGGCCGGUGGGAAACAAAGGAUGUGGGGAGAGAGCGGAAGGGGCCCACGUGGCCGUCGCCGAAUUCCUGUUCCCUCCCCGUGCCUCCUCCGCAGCCUCCACACGCGCAGCAGGGUCUAGAGCCCCGGGGCUAACCCGGUUCCUUGGUGACCGGAUAGAUAGUGAUACUGCCUACACCCAGGCAGUCCUGCCAGGGCGUGUGCACGCACUCGUGCAACCUGAUUUGGGUGAGCGCGAGAUGUGUCAGACCCUGCACAGAGCUCCAUGAAAAAACAACCUAGACGCUGUCGUUUUUCUUUCGGGAACCAGGUCAAUUCGGAGUCCCUGGACACCGAACAUAGAUAACUGUUAUCAGAGUCCCUUCUGUACUUCUGCUAAAUGCUUCAUUUUCUAAAACCAGAUCGAGCCCCAAGGAUAAAUCCUUUUCCAUAUUAAGUCUCCCUUCAUUCAGCCAGCACUAAUGAAGCAUCUCCUAAACUAGAUGCUGAGGAUUAGGAAGAUGAAAAUUAACAAUAGCUAACAUUAAUUGAACUCUGUAACGUGGCAGGCGCUGUUAGCGCUUGACACACUGACGUUUCACAACUACCCAGUGGAGUUCUUUUUUGUCCCUUUUCACAGAGAAGCCUGCAAAGAUUAAGUUACUGGCUGUGGUCAAAGACGCUACUGAAUGCAUUCAAGCUCUUAAAGCACUUGUGGGGACUCAAGGUAGAGAUUACAAUUUGUAGAGUUAGGUAGGAUUCCAUCUAGAAAGCAUUUGACCUGGG
ensembl:lncRNA